UACGUAGGGGGCAAGCGUUGUCCGGAAUUAUUGGGCGUAAAGAGCGUGUAGGCGGUCCGGUAAGUCAGCUGUGAAAGUCAAGGGCUCAACCCUUGAAUGCCGGUUGAUACUGUCGGGCUAGAGUCCGGAAGAGGCGAGUGGAAUUCCCGGUGUAGCGGUGAAAUGCGCAGAUAUCGGGAGGAACACCAAUGGCGAAGGCAGCUCGGCUGGGACGGUACUGACGCCUGAGACGGCGAAAGCGUGGGGAGCAACAGG
rnacentral:rRNA from 1 species